UAUGCUGAAGACAGGUGCUGAGGGGGAGGGUGUAAAUGAUAACUGGAGAUAGAGCCCAGAGAGAACAACAAUUCGGCAAAGAGAUGGAUAAUGGUGAGCUGGGGAGAAAGAAAAGCUGGUAAUAGGGACUUUUGAUGGGUGAAAUUGGGUUGGCGGUGACAAGAACAACCCAUGUGAUGACAAGACUAAGGGUGUGAAGAUGGGUAAAGUACAUGGAAGGAGGGGUUCAAACUCUAAAAUUAUUGAACUCAAUAUUAAGUCCUGAAGGCAACAGGUUCCCAAGUGGAAAAUGAAAUGCUGAGUGGCAUAUGUGUUGAAGACCUAUGCGAAUAGUCCAGUUCAGUUUCUAGUAAUUGACAACUCCUCGGAUAUUGAUGCAGGGGGAUUCAGUGAUAGGUAUGCCAUUGGAUAUCAAGGGGUGAUGGUUAGAUUCUUUUUUGUUGGAAAUGGUCAUUGUCUGGUACUUGAGCAGCACACGGAUGUUAUUUGCCACUUGUCAGCCUGAACAUUAUCUCAAUCUUGCUGCAUUGGGCAUGGACUACAUCAGUAGCUAAGGAACCCUGAACAUUGUGUAGGCAUCAGCAAGCAUCCCCACUUCUGACCUUAUGAUGGAGCUAAUUCCAAUAGAUGUGAACAGAGAGCAGUGAUCGCUCAUUGACAGUAAAAUUGUUGUUGGUCAAAAGCUUCUGUGUGUUCCCAGCGCUUAUUUCUGUUUUUUUUUUACCUUUGCUUUUGCUGUUGCUGAAUAAAACAGAAUGAUUUGAACCACUUUAAAGCUUUCCUGUAUGUUAUGCUCCGACAUUGAAUAAUGAGAAGCUAUUGAACACUGGGGAAGCAGUAGCACUCCCUUUGACAGGAUUCUAAGAUAAGAUGAGGUUAAGUUUGGGUAAGCUAUGUUGCUCAUAUCUUAAAUACUAAUAGAUGUCUGAAUGUGAACUUGUCAGUGUAAUGAUGUUUUAGCCAUGUCACCUAUGUGUCCUGAGAAACAUUUGUUUUUGGUUGCCUCCCACUGUCUAUCUGUGAAGGGCAGCUCUGGAGGGACAAUGCUCGGCUACGUGCAUGACCAAGCUUUAAAGAUGGUAUGAAGCCAGGAAUCCUUGGAUAUCCCAGCAAUUGAUUGCACCCACAACACAGCAGAAAGAGUCAAGAUGGGUGGUCUGCUUCUCAUUCUUCAACUCCUCACCCCAUUUGAGAAAAGGAUCCUGAUACUGACUACCUGAAGCAGGGCCUGGAUUGAUGUUCGAAGCUGCCUUUAACUUACUGUGUGGAAUACACUGAGCGAAGCCUAUUUUUGUUUCUUAUAUGCAAAGUACUCUUACACACAAGUGACCACUUUUUUUUCCAUUACCAAAUCCCUAAGUGAAAUCUAUCCCCUUGAUUUAACUGAGAUUGACUGAUAACUGUGAUAAGAUUCCUAGCUUUCUGUCUGUGCUAAACGGCACAGCAAAGCAGCAGUAAUGAGAGUUUGGUAUCUGUGGCUGAGGGGUCGAUGUACAAAAAAAAGCAAUGCAAGGCACGGAUGCCUUGAGAAUUGAUAUAGGCUCAGAAUGGGUAGGUUCUAAGAAGGCCCAGUCCAGUCCAUGAGCUGGAAAGUAUCCCUGAGCACAAAGUGUCCUUGCUGUAGCAUUACAACGAUAGUUGCUAAUGCAGCUCAAGGUGUGUCAUUGAAUAUUCUGCUAGUGGAUCGAAGAUGUAAAAUCAGUGCUCUUAGAGGCUGUCACAUCAGAUGCCAAUGAUUGUGCUCAUGGAGUGUGUGUGGUCAAUGUGCAUGGAAUGUGUCCUCAGAUGUUGGUGCUCUGUGUCCAACAUGGAGGUUAUUUGGAGCCAGCGGUGAGCCAAGUCUGACAGGUACUCACUGGUUCCCUUGUGAAGCUUUUCCAAUGUUGAGCUUAUUUGGCAAGUUUGGGAGGAUGGGAGGUUGAAAAUUAAUGGGGUGAGUUGAGCUUUGUAAAACAAUAAUCAAUGUCAAUUGGCAAAGCUCCACUGCCUAGUCAGAAUCUCAUCUUGCUGUUUGUGAAAAGCAAAAAAGAUGGCACAAGUCGGUCCUGAAGUUCAGAUGGGCCUCACUGCACUUUGUCACUCGUUUCUGUCAAGCAUCUUGCCAAAGUCUAUGUUGUUCAGACCCCAUUAGAGCCUGUCCAUGAAUUAACUCUGAAUUAUUGAAGUUUGUUCAAGUUUAGCCCAACCAACUUUUGGAAAAGAAGACUCUUUAAGUGUACAAAAAUAUGACUUUUUUAAAACUUUAUGUACCUUACAUCCAAAAUCCAGUUAUGCAAUUUAAAUGGAAUGGCACAAUAACUUAUAAAAGUUUAUUAGAACAGCAAACAUUAGCAAUUUCAUCAUUAUCCACAACAGUAAGCAACAUAAUCAGCUUGCUGUACGGUCAUGGGCUCCAUAUUACAAUAUACUACAAAUCUAACAAGCUUGAUGAGCACUAUAUUGGCCACCAAUAUCAUCACUGUGAAAAGUGGGAAAUUUGUGGUCCAGCCACUUCAAACUGCUGAAUUAGACUGACGUUGCUCAGCAAAAGUAUCAAUGAACUUUAGUGAUGAUCUUAAAUGAAUCAAAAUAAAUGUAAUUAGCAAAUAAAUUAAGUCAAAAUUUCAGAAUUUGGCAAAGUUGAACAAAUAUAACAUUCAAAAUUAUAUUGAACACUAAAGUUUCACAUAUUUUCAGUUUCUUUUAGUUAGCACAGUUUUAAUGAAGUGAUGCUAUGACCUCAUGUAUUGAUUUUAAAUUCCUGCCCUCCUACAAAUAGCUCAAGAUUGGCACGUCAAGGAUUUUAGCAACUAAACUCAUCACCAUUUUGUCUAUAAAGUCUUUUAAGACAGAUAAAAAUUAACUACUUAAAAUUGUAUCAUGCAGCAUGCAUAUGUCAUCAACACUUUGAUACAAGACUGAUUAUAAUCAAAGUUAAGGUUCUGAAGGUUAAACACAGUGUUGCAUUGUCCUUUUAAAUUGAUACCUAGUUGUUUGAAUUACCAACAAGUCGACCUGCACCUUUAAAGACUCACUUACUAACACUGUAUCGGUAAUGAUUUGGAAUUUCCUGAGCAGAUGAGUUGAGUAUUUCUUUUAAAAGAAGAUGCAAUGCAAAUCAGCCACUAUUAUUCAUACAAAGUUAUAAAGGAAAUUUAGGCUUGUAAUUAACCAGGAGAGUGAGCAUGAAUGAAGCUUGGUAUCAUUUGAACCCUGAGAUUAGAAUAUUUGAAAAAGGCAUUGUCAAAGCAAAAUGGUGUAGGACAUAUAACGUUUUCAUUGUCAGAUGUCUUCUCAAUGACAAUAAGAAACUGAUUAAGUUUAAAGUCUGAAAACAACAUUGUAAACUUUGUACUAUAGCAGAUAGUGUACACUUCUACUACAUUGCUGUUAGUGGCCAAUCUUAUAGAGUAUGCCAUAAAAUAGUAAUAUGAAAAAAUGCUGUUUCGGAAACUAGGCCUUUCUGAAAGUUUCUCAUCAAACCGCCAUCAUUUUCACAGUCUAUCUUUAUUACAGCACUUAUUCACCCUGUGAGCAGUGUGAUGACAGGCUGUAAGUCACAAUGAAUCAUAGCUAGAUUAGUUACAUUGGUGUGGAUCCUCACAAAAGCUAUAGCUUAGAUGGACAAAUGAGGGAUCUGUCCCUUAUGUCUGGUGCCUUUGAAAUAUUGGACAGAAUCAUAUUCUUUUGAUAAGUACAAGCCACAUUGCAUUUGAUGGAGCAAGACUAGCCAUGAGACCUAGUGAGUUUUCUUGCUGUACCUUUACCAAACUCACCACGUUAAUUUCUGACCCAAUGGCAGGUAUUACCUUAUAUCUCUGUCCCAUCCUAUCAUACCCCAUUCCCAGAAGAACGCACUACUCACUGAACAUCCAUCAUAAGACAAGCAUUCCUUAUGGCUGUGUUGUCUUUAAGUACCCACAGUGCAUCUGAAAUAGUAGUAGUAUUAAAAUACAGACAUUUGCUCGGUGGUCAGUGUGCUGCACCAAGCACUGCCUCUAACCAUUGGCUGUGGUGCCUUAUGCCUUUUUAUGUUACAGCUGCAACUAGAGUUGAGUACAGUAGCCAAGACCAUCAUCUCCCCUGGAGGAGAUCACCUUAUGGCUGGGGGAAGAAACUGUUCAGGUUGUGGAGGAAACAUUGGCAAGGCUGCCCACUGCUCACCUCUAACAACCACCCCCACCAUCAGCAGCAACAUCGCAUAGGUGAACAGAAUGUGGGUUGGGGAACUGCUAAAGACCUCACAGCUACAGUUGCACAGAUGGGUGAGGGAGAAACACCCCAGGCCACUGACAUUCAAGGAGUACUGACAACUAGGCACCUGCUCAUCCCAUGGCAGGAGGAGAUGCUGUGGUCCUGUCGAUGAGAAACUUCAUGGACAUGUUCAGAAAUAAUCAAAAUUGGGAAGCAUGUGUUCAGGAAGUUUUGGAGGUGCUAUUGCUCCUACGGAGAAAAAGGACUGACUGUGAUCAUUCACUGAAUCAUAAUUUGCAAAACCAACCCAGUCCAAUGCCUGUCUGUGGUGAUGAUUGGGACUGGUGUGGAAAGUUGCGAUUAACUAACUGUUGCUAACAUCCCUGACUGAUGGGUGCCCUUACAGAACUGAGUGCAGACCACUGUCCAAAAACCUUCGGGCAUGUGCCAGUGCUUGCUGCAGUUGCCCCGAGUUUGGUGUAAGUGCUGCUGCCACGUGGUAUAGAUAGUAGCCUGAUGUUGCUCACUGACAUUCGCGAUGUAGUAGAUGCCCUUUAAUGAGCACUGCUUACAGCAUGGUGACCUGUCUGGUUAUGUGUCAAGGCAUGGCAUCACAACACAUGGCAGGCUAAGGGCUCCAUGCUAUGGGCAUGUUUGCAGGCACCAGGUGAAUGUGCGCUGAGAGACUGUCAACCUGGCGUCUCUCCCUUAGUGGCUACUGUGUACUUCAGGUUGCCAGUCAUGCACUGCUUCACACGUGUUGGAUUGUAGGAUGCAAUGCAAGGGCACUUCAUUGAUGCCAGGAUAGUUCAAUGGCUCCCUGAAAGUUGGGUGCUACUGCCAUUGGUGAAAGGGUGCAAGUGGCUGCUGCUCGUGGGUUACGCCCUGUACUGCAGUUUGACUGUGGGUAACGUGAAAGUCAUUUGGAGUAUGUAGCAUGUUAAACACUCUAGGUACCCACUUGGAUUUCUCUGUUGAGUUUUCCUGGCAGCUAGUUUGUGUUGCUUAUUUGGUAAGAUUGCAACCUGUGGCAAGUUGACCUGUUAGCAAGCAAUAAAGAGCAUUAAUCAGGAACAAUCUUUCCAAAUUCUUGUGCGAGAAUCCCACCAUAUCAUCUGAGCAAAGCAGGGAAGUUGACUUAAGAUGAUAUUAAAAUUGAGACAACAAUCUCGCCUGUCUGCCACACAUCUCACGACAGCCCAUACCUUCAGUUGCUUAUUAAAUUCUAUCUGUUGUUUUAAUUUGGCAAAGGCAGUUUCUUAUUAGGUUGGUAAAUUAUUUGUACUUUGUUCUUUUUUCUCAAGGCCUAAUUAUUGUGACUAUUAGGAUUCAUACAAUGAAAGAAAGUAGUGUUUUAAGUGGUGCUUUUAAUUUUAUGAAUUGUCCCAAGGCACUUUAGAAAUAGUCAUAAUAAAUAUAGAUGUGCACUUAGGGAGAAAGUAAUUUGUAUGGGUAUUAAACUUUCUCAAAACUCAUUUACAUUUUUAAAAGGAUUGACCUAGGAAAGGGUUAAAAAAAAACCACAUUAUGCCUGUUAUUUCUGCUAUUGCUUGUACAGAUGGUUAGAGUUGGAAGAAUAGAUUAUUGAAGAUGGAAGAAAUUAGAGAUAGGAAGAAUAAGGCUAUGAAGGGCUU